rnacentral:lncRNA from 14 species
CAACCACUUAAAACUGUUGAAGUAGACUUUAAAAAGAAACAAAAUCCAUCAUCAAAACAACUUCAUGCCUUUCACCAUUAUGUUUAACUAUUUCCUCACCACUUGCAGAACCUGGAAGAAUGUUUGGUUUGUUACCAUAAUAAUGUUUUAGUAGUGAGAGAUUAGUGUUAGAGGGAAGUAAUUGUGAAGUUGAAGGCUGGGUCAAAUUAAGUAGUAUAGUCUUACAGUUAAGGUACCAAUACUUUUAUUUCCUUGCAGUAAAUAUACCUCUGUUGUAGUAGAGUAACAUACUCAUUACACUUGGUAUAUCCUAAUCUCAGUUUUUGGUAUUUAUAUAACGGGAUCUUGGGUCAUUCAGCGUAUUGAAAAAUCCAUUGAAAAUGAUUUAAUUUCAAAUGUGAAAACUGACUUGUGUAACCUUUUGAAGUCAGCUACCCUCUGUUUGACAAAAUAAUUCUUUCAACAGCUUAUAAAGUCACAUUUAGUCAAGCCUGAGUGUGAAGACUUAAUUUGGAAUAGACAUCAGUGGACUGAGCACUUCAGGAGAAAUCUUAAUAUAAGAAACAAGUGGAGGGAUUUUGAGCAUCAACAACUUCAGGUUCCACUGGAGAGGUCAAAGCUUUAGUGUCUUCAUUAAAAGUUCCUGGACAGAGUACCCAAAUUCCAGGGUUCAUCUUGUGUGCAUGUCCACAUUGUUUUUGGACUCUGCUGUUUCUCAAAGGAAAGAAAUUUGCCAUUGACUUUUAAAGAGCUUGGACUAAGAUGUUCUGAAGGAGUGUAAAAGGACUUCUGCAGCUGAUCCCAUAGGAUUUUUGCAGAUUGUCAGUAAAAGCAGUACAGAAAGUAUCUCAAAGUCAGUAACUUAUACUUAAGUAAUCCAGCAUUGUAUCUCAUCCUGGCUUCAAAUGUGU